UUGGUUGGGGGGGCAUAACCCCGUGGGCAAGUACACAGCUCACCG
rnacentral:tRNA from 1 species